AUUGAACGCUGGCGGCAGGCCUAACACAUGCAAGUCGAACGAGUGGCGGACGGGUGAGUAAUGUCUGGGAAACUGCCAGAUGGUGGGGGAUAACUACUGGAAACGGUAGCUAAUACCGCAUACUAUCGGGUGUGCCCCGAUGGGACUAGCUAGUUGGUGGGGUAAUGGGUCACCGAGGCGACGAUCCCUAGCCGGCCUGAGAGGAUGAUCAGCCACACUGGAACAGAGAGACGGUCCAGACUCCUACGGGAGGAAGCAGUGGGGAAGAUUGCGCAAUGGGCGCAAGCCUGAUGCAGCCAUGCCGCGUGUAUGAAGAAGGCCUUCGGGUUGUAAAGUACUUUCAGCGAGGAGGCGUUACUCGCAGAAGAAGCACCGGCUAACUCCGUGCCAGCAGCCGCGGUAAUUC
rnacentral:rRNA from 1 species